rnacentral:rRNA from 1 species
CGCGUAGGCGGUCGUGUGCGUCGGAGGUGAAAUCCCCGGGCUUAACCCGGGAGCUGCCUCCGAUACGGCAUGGCUUGAGUCCGGGAUAGGGGAGCAGAAUUCCCAGUGUAGCGGUGAAAUGCGUAGAUAUUGGGAGGAAUACCAGUGGCGAAGGCGGCUCCCUGGACCGGUACUGACGCUGAGGCGCGAAAGCGUGGGUAACAAACAGGAUUAGAUACCCUGGUAGUCCACGCCGUAAACGAUGGGUGCUUGGUGUCGGGGGUAUCGACCCCUCCGGUGCCGAAGCUAACGCAUUAAGCACCCCGCCUGGGGAGUACGGUCGCAAGGCUGAA